UGCCCAGCAACUCCUAUCACUGCCUCCUCGUGGAACUGGCCGGGUACGAGUAACCUUAGAGAAGAUUGGAUGACCAACCCCGGUUGGAACUUUGGUCGUAUGUUAACAGUGGAGGG
rnacentral:ribozyme from 1 species